CAACGCUGGCGGCGUGCCUCAGACAUGCAAGUCGAACGAUUAAAGCUCUCUUCGGAGAGUGCAUAAAGUGGCGCACGGGUGAGUAACACGUAAGUAAUCUACCUUCGAGUGGGGAAUAACGUUCGGAAACGAACGCUAAUACCGCAUAAUGCAGCGGCAUCUAUGAUGACAGUUGUUAAAGAUUUAUCGCUUGAAGAGGAGCUUGCGGCAGAUUAGCUUGUUGGUAGGGUAACGGCCUACCAAGGCGACGAUCUGUAUCCGGUCUAAGAGGACGGUCGGACACACUGACACUGAAUAACGGGUCAGACUCCUACGGGAGGCAGCAGUCGGGAAUUUUGGGCAAUGGGCGAAAGCCUGACCCAGCAACGCCGCGUGAAGGAUGAAGUUUUUCGGAAUGUAAACUUCGUAAGAAUGGGAAGAAUAAAUGACGGUACCAUUUGUAAGGUCCGGCUAACUACGUGCCAGCAGCCGCGGUAAUACGUAGGGACCAAGCGUUGUUCGGAUUUACUGGGCGUAAAGGGCGCGUAGGCGGCAAUUCAAGUCAGCUGUGAAAUCUCCGGGCUUAACUCGGAACGGUCAGCUGAUACUGCUUUGCUAGAGUGCAGAAAGGGCAAUCGGAAUUCUUGGUGUAGCGGUGAAAUGCGUAGAUAUCAAGAGGAACACCUGAGGCGAAGGCGGGUUGCUAGGCUGACACUGACGCUGAGGCGCGAAAGCUAGGGUAGCAAACGGGAUUAGAUACCCCGGUAGUCCUAGCCCUAAACGAUGAAUACUUGGUGUCUGGAGUUUUUAUCCU
rnacentral:rRNA from 1 species